AAAAGAUACAAUGAACUGAGUAGAAUCGGAGGGGGCAGGACUUUUGGGCGGGGAAGGGCUCGUUUGGGCGAAAAGUUGGGGGCUUUUGGGCGAGUAAGAAACAGUGCAAAAUAGCCUUCCCCCGAUUAGGGAGGGGGUCUUAUGGGCGAGAGGAAAAAAGGUACCUUUUGAAGGAAAUAUGUGAAUGUGGCAACACCGAACAACAUGUUGAAUGAAAGAACAGUAUGAAACACACUCACCAUUGUAUGUAGAGUUGAGUAAUAUAAAAAUAUCACAGCUGUAGGUGGCUGGUCGUCAAUUGAUAAAAUCUGGAUGAGAAUUUAAAUUUUCUUAGCUUGGAAAUGGUGACCUAGGCGCUUGAGGUAAGUCAACCGAGCUUCUCGAUCACGUUUGCUCGCCGCGUAAGUAUUCCAGGCUUCUAUCGCAUAAUUAUUUCGGUCAAUUGUCGGUUGUUUAAUAGUAUUUGUGACAUUCAUGUUGACGGAAGUUAUUUUAGUUAACGUUUCUGCUUGAAUCUGACGUAGGACUUCAACCACGUUGUGAAUGUUGGGAUGGGUAUGAUAGAAUUCUUUAUUAUAGUUACUAUGAAACGAUUCGUUGCCAUUUGUAGUGCGAGGGCAAUUUGACGGCGGUCCGGCCCAUAAAUCUGGAGGAUACUUUGACAAAGUCAAAUAUAGUUAUUCAGAAGAUAAUUUGAAAAUUCCGUUUGUGUUUCUUGAGGUAUGCCGUCAGGAACGAUAGACAUUAAAUCUAGGAAACCACCCAACACUUCGUUUGGCGGUAACAAUGGCAAGCCAAAAAAAAGUUCGCUCACUUGCAUCAAUUUUAAAUUUGAUUCACACGUCAAGAUUACCAUAUUUUUGGCUGCAUUCACAAAACAGAAUUGCUGUCCUUUCACUAAAAUUUUGCGUUGUAAAUCAUACAGCUGACAGUAUGCUUCCUGUCUCGAUUUUGGUAUUGGAGCAGGGAGAGAUUUUUUUCUUUCCUUAUACAUCAUUUUCCGAAUACCAGGCAAUUCUAAAUUUGAUAAUUCACAGGCACCAUCUAAUAAAAGUUCGCGUCUUAUAAUCUUACUCGGUUUUUCGAUUAAAUUUUCGGCCGCUUUCCUUUUGACACUAACUUUAAAUUUUUGUUGGUUAUUUCUUCCGACGUGUAUGGCUCAUGAUUAUGUUCAACAGCACUAGGUUGGAUCACUUUUUUUACAGUUUCGUCAACUAGCACACUUGCCCCGCACUUCUUAUUAGCGCACCUGAACCUAAUGUUUCCGGACUGUAAAACAUUCGAUUCCGUUAAUUUAUACAAUUCAAUUAUAACACACCGUUUGCCGCGAAAUGUCCUAAAAACCGAUGAAAUUUCGAUAUCCAUAACGUGCGAGUUUUAAGCGAAGUCACUGCGCUACUACGGCUAAUUACGACGCGGUGAAUCGCGGUGACAAACAUGGGAAGUCAUCCUGAUAGCAUUCCGUUCUGUUUACCCGAAAUCAGUCUCCUUCGUCGUUAUCACAUGCUCAUCUUUCUGCGGCAGGCAUAGCUGCCAGAUUCACGGUAUUUCGGUGACUCGGCCACCCGCCCAAAAAACCUCCCUCAUUUUCGCCCAACUUGAUUUCAUUCUCGCCCAAAAUACCUCUCUUUUCAACAAAAGCUCGCCCAAAAGGGUUCUCCCCGAAUCGGAAACGUUUAAAAGCAGCUCAUUAACACACAAUUUGUUUGGUCCAUAUUACACAGUUUCAACUGCCAAAGCAAGUAGUUUACAGUGGCGUGGCGUGAACUGCGAUACAUCGAUUGUAAUGCC
rnacentral:lncRNA from 1 species